rnacentral:rRNA from 1 species
AUGUCGUCGACGGUCUCGACGCGACCGUCUUCACCGAAACUCGGCGAGCGCGACGACGUCAACGGGCUGGAGAGCUGGGACGAUCCUAUUCCCAGACGGUCGCAGUGGACCGUCCAGGACCUCUGCGAUGCGUUCGUCGCCGCCUCCAAGCACCAGCUCAGCCUAAUCCCCCAGCCGCCGCCCCGCGAGGAGCGCGCCCGGCUGAGGCAGGAGCGCGAGCGCAGCUUCCUGCUCAACGUCGCGCUCCGCAAGUACGCCACACAAAACAACGUACAGCAUAGCGAGUUACAACUCGUGGAAGUGAAAGCUAGGAACUAUGUCUUUGAAUGCCCAAGAUCCUACUUGCACUACAACAUUCUGGUGAGAUGCCCAGAUGGCACGCACACCAUGUUCUUCGCCGAGGUGGACCCUGAACGCGCUGGAGAGGAGGAUGUUCAUCUCUGCACCCCUCUGCAAGACACCGACAACAAUGGCUCCUGUUUCAGUUGCAAACACCGAGCCAGGGGCCUUAUGCAUCCCACCGGCGCUGGCUACUUGGGCGGGCACAUGGAAACCAAUUUCCUUGACUUUGAGCUUCCAGAUAGCAGUGAUGAUGAAUAUAUCUGA